rnacentral:rRNA from 1 species
GACGAACGCUGGCGGCGUGCUUAACACAUGCAAGUCGAACGGAAAGGCCCUGCUUUUGUGGGGUGCUCGAGUGGCGAACGGGUGAGUAACACGUGAGUAACCUGCCCUUGACUUUGGGAUAACUUCAGGAAACUGGGGCUAAUACCGGAUAGGAGCUCCUGCUGCAUGGUGGGGGUUGGAAAGUUUCGGCGGUUGGGGAUGGACUCGCGGCUUAUCAGCUUGUUGGUGGGGGAGUGGCUUACCAAGGCUUUGACGGGUAGCCGGCCUGAGAGGGUGACCGGCCACAUUGGGACUGCGGUACGGCCCAGACUCCUACGGGAGGCAGCAGUGGGGAAUAUUGCACAAUGGGCGGAAGCCUGAUGCAGAAACGCCGCGUGCGGGAUGACGGCCUUCGGGUUGUAAACCGCUUUCGCCUGUGACGAAGCGUGAGUGACGGUAAUGGGUAAAGAAGCACCGGCUAACUACGUG